ACAAUGAAGAGUUUGAUCCUGGCUCAGGAUGAACGCUAGCUACAGGCUUAACACAUGCAAGUCGAGGGGCAGCAUGGUCUUAGCUUGCUAAGGCCGAUGGCGACCGGCGCACGGGUGAGUAACACGUAUCCAACCUGCCGUCUACUCUUGGACAGCCUUCUGAAAGGAAGAUUAAUACAAGAUGGCAUCAUGAGUCCGCAUGUUCACAUGAUUAAAGGUAUUCCGGUAGACGAUGGGGAUGCGUUCCAUUAGAUAGUAGGCGGGGUAACGGCCCACCUAGUCUUCGAUGGAUAGGGGUUCUGAGAGGAAGGUCCCCCACAUUGGAACUGAGACACGGUCCAAACUCCUACGGGAGGCAGCAGUGAGGAAUAUUGGUCAAUGGGCGAGAGCCUGAACCAGCCAAGUAGCGUGAAGGAUGACUGCCCUAUGGGUUGUAAACUUCUUUUAUAAAGGAAUAAAGUCGGGUAUGGAUACCCGUUUGCAUGUACUUUAUGAAUAAGGAUCGGCUAACUCCGUGCCAGCAGCCGCGGUAAUACGGAGGAUCCGAGCGUUAUCCGGAUUUAUUGGGUUUAAAGGGAGCGUAGAUGGAUGUUUAAGUCAGUUGUGAAAGUUUGCGGCUCAACCGUAAAAUUGCAGUUGAUACUGGAUAUCUUGAGUGCAGUUGAGGCAGGCGGAAUUCGUGGUGUAGCGGUGAAAUGCUUAGAUAUCACGAAGAACUCCGAUUGCGAAGGCAGCCUGCUAAGCUGCAACUGACAUUGAGGCUCGAAAGUGUGGGUAUCAAACAGGAUUAGAUACCCUGGUAGUCCACACGGUAAACGAUGAAUACUCGCUGUUUGCGAUAUACAGCAAGCGGCCAAGCGAAAGCGUUAAGUAUUCCACCUGGGGAGUACGCCGGCAACGGUGAAACUCAAAGGAAUUGACGGGGGCCCGCACAAGCGGAGGAACAUGUGGUUUAAUUCGAUGAUACGCGAGGAACCUUACCCGGGCUUAAAUUGCAGAUGAAUUACGGUGAAAGCCGUAAGCCGCAAGGCAUCUGUGAAGGUGCUGCAUGGUUGUCGUCAGCUCGUGCCGUGAGGUGUCGGCUUAAGUGCCAUAACGAGCGCAACCCUUGUUGUCAGUUACUAACAGGUUCCGCUGAGGACUCUGACAAGACUGCCAUCGUAAGAUGUGAGGAAGGUGGGGAUGACGUCAAAUCAGCACGGCCCUUACGUCCGGGGCUACACACGUGUUACAAUGGGGGGUACAGAGGGCCGCUACCACGCGAGUGGAUGCCAAUCCCCAAAACCUCUCUCAGUUCGGACUGGAGUCUGCAACCCGACUCCACGAAGCUGGAUUCGCUAGUAAUCGCGCAUCAGCCACGGCGCGGUGAAUACGUUCCCGGGCCUUGUACACACCGCCCGUCAAGCCAUGGGAGCCGGGGGUACCUGAAGUGCGUAACCGCGAGGAGCGCCCUAGGGUAAAACUGGUGACUGGGGCUAAGUCGUAACAAGGUAGCCGUACCGGAAGGUGCGGCUGGAACACCUCCUUU
rnacentral:rRNA from 1 species